UACGGGGGGGGUAAGCGUUGUUCGGAAUUACUGGGCGUAAAGGGCUCGUAGGCGGCCAACUAAGUCAGACGUGAAAUCCCUCAGCUUAACUGGGGAACUGCGUCUGAUACUGGAUGGCUUGGAUCCGGGAGAGGGAUGCGGAAUUCCAGGUGUAGCGGUGAAAUGCGUAGAUAUCGGAAGGAACACCAGUGGCGAAAGCGGCUUCCUGGUCCAGCACCGACGUCAGGCACGAAAGCGUGGGGAGCAAACAGG
rnacentral:rRNA from 1 species